CCCGCCCAAGAAAUACUGUCACGUGACCGUCAACUUUCACCCAGGAUGUCUACUCGACGACUUCCCCUUAGCAACCGACUGGCGGAGCUUGGUUCCCUUAGUAACCGGGCGAAGCGUCGGCUUGCGUGGAAGCAGUCGGGUGGCAGGCGCUUGAGACGGGCUGUCCUGGUUUUGUUUCUCGGUGAGGAGUCUGCUCUAUUGGCAGUGGUGUAGAGCCCUCCACUGCUUUCCCCAACCGCUACCUCUGGGCUUCCCCAACACUGUUGUCAGGGAAAAUGCACCGGCUGUACAACUCACUGGAGCCAAGGGUGAUGGAUGAGGACAUGCUCAAGCUGGCUGUGGGAGAACAAGGCCCUCGGGAGGAGGCUGGGCAGCUGGCCAGGCAGGAGGGCAUCCUCUUCAAGGAUGUCCUGUCACUGCGGCUGGACUUCCAGAACAUCCUCCGCAUAGACAGCCUCUGGGAGUUUGAGAACUUGACAAAGCUCCAGUUGGACAACAACAUCAUUGAGAAGAUCGAGGGCCUGGAGCAACUUGUACACCUGGUCUGGCUGGACCUGUCUUUCAACAACAUUGAGGCCAUUGAGGGGCUGGACACGCUGGUGAACCUCGAAGACCUAAGCUUGUUCAACAACCGGAUCUCCAAGAUUGACUCUCUGGAUGCCCUCGUCAAGCUGCAGGUGUUGUCGCUGGGCAACAACCAGAUCGGCAACAUGAUGAAUAUCAUCUACCUGCGGCGGUUCAAGGACCUGCGGACGCUCAGCCUCUCUGGGAACCCCAUCGCAGAGUCGGAGGAUUACAAGAUGUUCGUCUGUGCCUACCUUCCUGACCUCGUGUACCUGGACUUCCACCGUAUCGACGACCACAUGAAAGAGAUGGCGGAGAGUAAGCACCAGUACAGCAUCGAUGAGCUGAAGCACCGAGAGAACCUGAUUCAGUCCCGGCUGGAGGAUGAGCAGGCCCAGCAGGAGGAGCUGGAGAAGCACAAGGCUGCGUUUGUCGAGCACCUGAAUGGUUCCUUCCUGUUUGACAGCAUGUACACCGAGGACGUGGAGGGCAACAAGCUGGCCUACCUGCCUGGCAUCAGCGAGCUCCUUCAGGCCUACAAGGACAAGUUCGUCAUCAUCUGCCUGAAUAUUUUCGAAUAUGGCCUGAAACAGCAGGAGAAGCGGAAAUUGGAGCUUGAUACGUUCAAUGAGUGUGUCCAGGAGGCCAUCCAAGAAAACCAGGAGCAGGGCAAACACAGGAUUGCCAAGUUUGAGGAGAAACACUUGCUGAGUCUAAAUGCCAUUCGAGAUGAGUCUGAACUGACCAACUUCGAGAUGAAGAUAGUGGAAUAUGGCAAGGACAUCACGGAGCUGUUCAACGUGCUCAUGACACUGGAGAUGCAAUUGGUAGAGCAGCUGGAGGAGACUAUAAACAUGUUUGAAAGGAACAUCAUUGACUUGGUGGCACUCUUUAUUGAAAAUGUGCAAAGCCUGAUGGCUCAGUGCCGGGACCUGGAGAACCACCACCACGAGAAGCUCCUAGAGAUCUCCAUCAAUACUCUCGAGAAGAUACUGAAGGGUGAUGUCGAUGAGGACCUGCCUGAUGACUUGCGCCCGAGAGAGCGAGAGAGAGGCAGAGACACAGGCAGAGGGAGAAGCAGGCUCCAUGCAGGAAGCCCGACGUGGGACUCGAUCCCGGGUCUCCAGGAUCACACCCUGGGCUGCAGAUGGCGCUAAACCGCUGCGCCACCGGGGCUGCCCAGGCAAAUCAGACUUGAGGGCAAGCAGGAGAGAACCACUGUGGGAACAGCCACCUGCCUUGGCCCUGAAGAAAAGACACUCCCAACUUAGUAUUGCAAAGCCAAUGCCUGGGUGGGCCCCUUCCCCAUAGGGCCUGCUGCAGCUCAGGUCUGGGAGGCGUCUCUAGAAGAUGAGCGCUUUUUGUUGACAAAGAUACGAUCUUUAAUGCUGUUGGGGCAUCGCAUGACAUCCACCUCCUGAAGAUCGACAAUCGAGAAGAUGAGCUGGUAACCAGGGCCAACUCUUGGUGUACGCACUUAGUAGACACG